rnacentral:rRNA from 1 species
UACAGAGGGUGCGAGCGUUAAUCGGAAUUACUGGGCGUAAAGCGUGCGUAGACGGUUAUGUAAGUCGGGUGUGAAAGCCCCGGGCUCAACCUGGGAAUUGCAUUCGAGACUGCGUAGCUAGGGUGCGGAAGAGGGAAGCGGAAUUUCCGGUGUAGCGGUGAAAUGCGUAGAUAUCGGAAGGAACACCAGUGGCGAAGGCGGCUCCUGGUCCAGCACCGACGUUCAGGCACGAAAGCGUGGGGAGCAAACAGG